GACAGCAGGACGGUGGUCAUG
rnacentral:snRNA from 1 species